rnacentral:rRNA from 1 species
GACGAACGCUGGCGGCGUGCUUAACACAUGCAAGUCGAACGAAGUGGCGAACGGGUGAGUAAUACGUGGGUACCCUGCCCUCCUUUUUGGGAUAAGCCUUGGAAACGGGGUCUAAUACCGAACAAAGGGGGAUGGGCUCGCGGCCUAUCGGCUGGUUGGUGGGGUUGUGGCCUACCAAGGGGUUGACGGCUAGCCGGCCUGAGAGGGGGACCGGCCACGUGGGGAGUAAGAUACGGCCCAGGCUCCUACGGGGGGCAGCAGUGGGGGAAAUUGCAGAAAGGGCGACAGACUGAUGCAGCGACGCCGCGUGGGGGAUGAAGUCGUUCAGGUUGGAAACCUCUUUCGCUAUCGAACCGGUAGGUGGAGAAGAAGCGCCGGCUAACUACGUGCCAGCAGCCGCGGUAAUUC